UACGUAGGGGGCAAGCGUUGUCCGGAAUCAUUGGGCGUAAAGAGCGUGUAGGCGGCCUGAUAAGUCGGCUGUGAAAGUCAAGGGCUCAACCCUUGAAUGCCGGCCGAUACUGUCAGGCUAGAGUUCGGAAGAGGCGAGUGGAAUUCCCGGUGUAGCGGUGAAAUGCGCAGAUAUCGGGAGGAACACCAAUGGCGAAGGCAGCUCGCUGGGACGUUACUGACGCUGAGACGCGAAAGCGUGGGGAGCAAACAGG
rnacentral:rRNA from 1 species